rnacentral:lncRNA from 1 species
AUUCUCUCUUGCCUGUUGCCAUGUAAGAUGUGCCUUUUGCCUUCGAUCAUGAUUGUGAGGCUUCCCCAGCCACAUGGAACUACUCCAGGUUCUUCAACUUCGUGACUCGGACUGGCUUCUUUGCUCUGAAGAUUGCAGACAGCCUAUUGUGGGAGCUCACCUUGUGAUUGUGUUAUGUUUAAUUUCUUCACACCACUCAAAACUCAGCUUCUGAUUUCAAGAGUUCAACAACAGCCCUGAAGGAUUCUGUCUGUUUUACAGCUAUGUAAAUAUGUUUAAUCUUCAGAUUCCUACAAGUUCCAGAUGACAAUGGAAUAUAAAACACACAAAGCAGCUUCUGAAAAGCCACUCUGCCCUAACAAGGCAGCCUACAUAAUUGAAGACAAGUGAUGUAAAUAAUUUGCCGUGUAUGCUGGUCCCAUGUUCCUGGACUUCUCAGUCUCCCCCCAGAACUGUAAAAAAUAAAUUUCUUUUCUUUAU